UACAGAGGGUGCGAGCGUUUAAUCGGAAUUACUGGGCGUAAAGCGCGCGUAGGCGGCUUUGCAAGUCGAAGUGUGAAAUCCCCCAGGCUUAACCUGGGGAACUGCAUUCGAGACUGCAUAGCUAGAGUAUGGGAGAGGGAAGUGGAAUUUCAGGUGUAGUGGUGAAAUGCGUAGAGAUCGGGAGGAACACCUGUGGCGAAGGCGGCCCCUGGGCCGGCCCUGACACUGAGACGCGAAGGCGUGGGGAGGCGAACGGG
rnacentral:rRNA from 1 species